rnacentral:lncRNA from 1 species
AUCCCACCUCCCGAAGAAAGGGCCGUUUGUUGAUAAUGUGGGUAAUCUGAAAUGGUGACAAAGGUUGAUGUCAUUAGAUGCUGAGGAUGUCGUCUAGUUUAGUCUCGAUUACUUGAGAGUAGAGUUUAUAUUCCGAUGUGGGGAGUUCCCAAAUGUUCCUCUUGUCAGUACAAAAGGGGGUUUGAUCAACUAUAACCCCGUUCUCUCAUUACGUCAGUUGGGAUAUCCGCUCAAAGAGAAACCCGAAGACCGUCUGUUGGAAGAACUGUUGUUAGCCGAAGGGGUUGAGAGUCCAAAGCUGAUGAAGAAAGUAUGCAGAGCA